CUGGAACUCUUAAUGUCUUAGAAGAUCUGAAACUGCAAAAUUUGAACAUAGAGAACAAUCAAUUCUCUGGACCAGUGCCUCUGCAGAUGCUCAGCAGUAUUCCAAACUUCAGUAAAGAUGGAAAUCCAUUUAAUGUAACUCCUGGGGCAUCACCAACAGAACCGCCAUCCCCAUUCUUCUCUGAGUCUCCGGCCAUUCCAGUUACUCCCCAGAACAAUUCAUAAGGAUCAUCUCAGAGUAUAAAAUCCCACAGUUUGAGUGUUAACAGAUUCUUCACCACCGGCAGGACAGUUGGGCUGGUUUUUGCAAUACUUUUGGCAAUUGGUGUAGUAAUUUUAGCUAUUUGUAUAUGUGUAUCGUGGUUCAGAGACAGACAUGAUGUCAUAAGUAGAUAUGAGGGAAAAGAUAAGGUACCUACCUAUAGAGAACCUGAAAAAAAACAUCCAAAAAGUGAGGCUUUGAUGCAAAAAGACUGUGACAUUGUGAAAGGUAGUUAUUGGCUUCAUGAAUUGAUUUCCCCUGAUUGAACCCCUUUACAACCAACCUAGCUUUGUAUCUUGGGUUUAGAGAGUUUUCAUCAUGCUUCACUCUAAAAACCCAUUUGUUUCUCAAUGCCCUCUUGCCUUGGGGCAACUCCACAAGCUCGAAGGUGUGGUUGUCGUAAAGUGACUGCAUCUCAUCUUUCAUGGCUUCCAUCCACUUUUCCUUGUGCACAUCAUGCAUAGCUUCUUCAUAGCAUUCAGGCUCACCACUGUCAGUCAACAAAAUAUAGUCAUGUGCGGGAUAUCUAG